AAAAAACCUGUCCAAGAACUUCCAAAAGAACCUAGCCUUGCAUUAUAUUUUCACCAUCCAUUCAUCAUUUGGAGAACCCUAGUAGCAGCAUCAGCCAUCAUUUUGCACAAGAACUUCACUCAUGCAAAAAAAAACCUGUCCAAGAACUUCCAAAAGAACCUAGCCUUGCAUUAUAUUUUCACCAUCCAUUCAUCAUUUGGAGAACCCUAGUAGCAGCAUCAGCCAUCAUUUUGCACAAGAACUU
rnacentral:lncRNA from 1 species